rnacentral:rRNA from 1 species
CAGUAGCCGCGGUAAUACAGAGGGUGCGAGCGUUAAUCGGAAUUACUGGGCGUAAAGCGUGCGCAGGCGGUUAUAUAAGACAGAUGUGAAAUCCCCGGGCUCAACCUGGGAACUGCAUUUGUGACUGUAUAGCUAGAGUACGGCAGAGGGGGAUGGAAUUCCGCGUGUAGCAGUGAAAUGCGUAGAUAUGCGGAGGAACACCGAUGGCGAAGGCAAUCCCCUGGGCCUGUACUGACGCUCAUGCACGAAAGCGUGGGGAGCAAACAGGAUUAGAUACCCGGGUAGUCCCUGUCUCUUAUAC